rnacentral:tRNA from 1 species
GGGGUUGUAGCUCAGUGGUAGAGUGCUUGCCUAGCACAUGCAAGGCCCUGGGUUCGAUCCUCAGCACCACA